rnacentral:rRNA from 1 species
UACGUAGGGUGCAAGCGUUAUCCGGAAUUAUUGGGCGUAAAGAGCUCGUAGGCGGUUUGUCGCGUCUGCUGUGAAAACUGGGGGCUCAACCCCCAGCCUGCAGUGGGUACGGGCAGACUAGAGUGCGGUAGGGGAGAUUGGAAUUCCUGGUGUAGCGGUGGAAUGCGCAGAUAUCAGGAGGAACACCGAUGGCGAAGGCAGAUCUCUGGGCCGUAACUGACGCUGAGGAGCGAAAGCAUGGGAGCGAACAGG